rnacentral:rRNA from 1 species
UACGUAGGGCGCAAGCGUUGUCCGGAAUUAUUGGGCGUAAAGGGCGCGUAGGUGGCCUUCUAAGUUGAACGUGAAAUCCCUGGGCUCAACCCAGGAACUGCGUCCAAGACUGGGAGGCUUGAAUCCGGGAGAGGGAUGCGGAAUUCCAGGUGUAGCGGUGAAAUGCGUAGAUAUCUGGAGGAACACCGGUGGCGAAGGCGGCAUCCUGGACCGGUAUUGACACUGAGGCGCGAAAGCCAGGGGAGCAAACGGG